AUUUUUUGAUUUUAGUUUAUUUACGUAUUUAGUUGAUUUUUUAAUAGAUUUAGUUCAUCUGUUGAUGUAACAUAGAGUGGCUCUUUAGUUAAUUUACCUGAAGUUAAAAAUGGUCAAUUAUAUGAUAUAACUUUUGGUUAUCAUCAAGAAUAUUUUAAGGAAAUUAUGGUGCUCAUCCUGAUAAAGAUCGUAAUUUUUAUAGUUGUGAUAUUGUUAUACGUCAAUCACAAGCUUUAGAAGAAUAUCAUAAUGAAUUAAAUCAAUCUGUUAGUGAAAAAAUAGUUAUUUUUAUUAAUAGAGAUAUAAGGAGAUUUAAUUUUUAAGUUAAAUCCAAUUCGUAAUGUUUGGAAUUUACCAAGGUAGAAUUACACGUUAAAUUUAGAAGAAUUGUUGAAAAGAAUGAAUUCUUAAUGGAAACAGUAAGGAUAUUUUUUAUAUAAUUAUUUUUAAUAAUAUUAAAAAUAAAGCUAUUAAUUU
rnacentral:rRNA from 1 species